rnacentral:rRNA from 1 species
UAGGGAAUAUUAGAAAUGGACGAAAGUCUGAUCUAGCAACACCGCGUGUGCGAAGAAGGCCUUCGGGUUGUAAAGCACUUUUUGGAAGGAUUAGGAAGGGAUGUACUUCCAGAAUAAGUCUCGGCUAACUACGUGCCAGCAGCCGCGGUAACACGUAGGAGGCAAACGUUAUCCGGAUUUACUGGGCGUAAAGCGCGUGUAGGUGGUUCUGUAAGUAGGGCGUGAAAACUCCUGGCUCAACUGGGAGAGGCCGUUCUAAACUGCAGAGCUAGAGGAUGGUAGAGGGAGGUGGAAUUCCGGGUGUAGCGGUGGAAUGCGCAGAUAUCCGGAGGAACACCAGUGGCGAAAGCGGCCUCCUGGACCAUUCCUGACACUCAGACGCGAAAGCUAGGGUAGCAA